UGCCAGCCAGUGGGAGCGGCCCAGCGGCACUGGCGGCGGCGGUGGAGGCGGCGGAGGUGGC
rnacentral:miRNA from 1 species